rnacentral:rRNA from 1 species
CCUACGGGUGGCAGCAGUGAGGAAUAUUGGUCAAUGGACGAGAGUCUGAACCAGCCAAGUAGCGUGAAGGAUGACUGCCCUGUGGGUUGUAAACUUCUUUUAUAUGGGAAUAAAACGUUCCACGUGUGGGAUUUUGUAUGUACCAUAUGAAUAAGGAUCGGCUAACUCCGUGCCAGCAGCCGCGGUAAUACGGAGGAUCCGAUCGUUAUCCGGAUUUAUUGGGUUUAAAGGGAGCGUAGGUGGAUUGUUAAGUCAGUUGUGAAAGUUUGCGGCUCAACCGUAAAAUUGCAGUUGAAACUGGCAGUCUUGAGUACAGUAGAGGUGGGCGGAAUUCGUGGUGUAGCGGUGAAAUGCUUAGAUAUCACGAAGAACUCCGAUUGCGAAGGCAGUUCACUGGACUGCAACUGACACUGAGGCUCGAAAGUGUGGGUAUCAAACAGGAUUAGAUACCCCUGUAGUC